AUCAGCGUGCUUUUUAUUGGAGGUGCAAAUUAUACAUAAUAACAUACAGCAAUUUUCAGUUAGAACUUUCGCAUUUUGCAGAAGUCCUUGCAUUUUUUUCAACAAAUAUAAGGGGAAGAAAAAUUCUCUCUUUUGUUUCCUCCCUUUCCCUUUUUCUUACAGAAAACAACGUCCAGGUUUUCUUGGAGCCAAUUAAGUCCAUUUGAAAUAAAGUUCUUUUAUUUUGGAUCAAGAGUGUCCACAUGGGGAGUUAAUCAAGAAUAAUUAUUCCUCUCUAAAUUCACAUCCUCAAAUAAUUUGAAUUAAAUCCCCAGCAUAGGAAAGCCCUAAAUGUCAGAGGAGGUUAAAAAAUAGUAGAGUAGACUAGAGGAGCUCUAUCAUAACAGAAAGCGAUGACAGUAAAACCAUCCUCUAUGCAGCCAGCCCAAGCCAGCAAGCGGAGCCAGCCAGGAUGGAUCCAGGUACAAAUGAUCCCACUCUCACUGUUCAGCCAUUUAAAGUCAACUGCUGUAUGUGUCCAUGGCACAGUUGCUAUGUACACUCUGUAUAGUGAUGUAAUAGUGGCAUCAGGCAGGAGAUGCUGCAGUCAUCAGAAGGAGCGAGUUCAGGCACAUCUCAGGAAGGAAUGUUGCUCAGGGAUGGAUGCCUUUCUCAGUUGUUUUCCCAGCUGGCUGCAGCUGCUUCAGGUCGAGACAGUACAAUCCUUCUUCUGUCCAGUUUCCAGCUGUGUGGAUCAGGAACCAGCAGCACAGGGCUCCCCAUCCCAGCCAGCUCCCAAAGGAGGUUUUAAGGAAGACAAAGUCAUCAGACAGUUACUGUGGGUCUUGGUUGGGGUUUUCAACUCGAAGGACAGCUGGACCAAACACUGCAAUACCAAUUUGUGAAGGAACUUGAAUUCACCAUAAAUACACAAAGAUGGAGCUGAGGAAAUGAAUCUAGGAUGAAGCUGAGUGAGGUUUCCAGCACCUUGAGCAAUGAUUCAUGGAGAUACCUGGUGGGGAUCAUAAGGAAAGUAAGAAGAACAAGGCUGGCACAGCCCCAGACAGAUUCACCAACUUCUUGGUCUCAGGCAGUGAGAAAUUUCCUCUUCCAGGUGCUCUCAACAGUGUGCAGCGCUGCUAUGGACAGAUGUCAUGGAGGUUUCCAUUAAAAUAAAUUAAAUCAAGCAGCUAUCCCA
rnacentral:lncRNA from 1 species